UACGGAGGGUGCAAGCGUUAAUCGGAAUUACUGGGCGUAAAGCGCACGCAGGCGGUCUGUCAAGUCAGAUGUGAAAUCCCCGGGCUUAACCUGGGAACUGCAUUUGAAACUGGCAGGCUUGAGUCUCGUAGAGGGGGGUAGAAUUCCAGGUGUAGCGGUGAAAUGCGUAGAGAUCUGGAGGAAUACCGGUGGCGAAAGCGGCUCUCUGGCCUGUAACUGACACUGAGGCUCGAAAGCGUGGGGAGCAAAC
rnacentral:rRNA from 1 species